AAUCACCCCUCGGUAAUCAAAGAAUACCGUCAGCAUCACCUUGAUGUUCGACCGGCUUUGGCGACCGUCCGUCCGGGGAGACCGUUCACUCGACCGACGACAAAAACAUUUGACGCAGCUCCGAAAACUAACUGUCACUCCUGUCAAAUUUGUCAAAAAUGUCAAAUUUUUGACAGGAUCGGAUUUUGGAUCGGAUUGAAUAGAAAAUCCGAUCUUCUGCCAGUGAGGCGAACCAAUGAGUGAGAAGUGAAGAGUGAGUAGUGGGAGAAUGUACAUUCUCACGUGAUAAUGAAGGAAAGUGAGAAAAAACGAGGUGGAUUGAAAGCAACGUAAAAUUGCAGGAUUGCCAACCGAAAAAAAAUAAAAUAUUUUGCUUCUUGGGGGAAUUGUACAUGUGUAUGUUAGGAGCCAAGUGCUGUGUGUCAUCUAAGGAGAUGUUUAUCAGGAAGGUAUUGUGUCAGGUGGUGGAGCAGGAGCUAUUGGAAGAGAAGAAGCAUACAUAUAGAUUAACAUCAGUGAAACUUACCUUUUUUUCUAUAGAAAUCGCCGUAAACCGAACCUCGUGUGACUAAAUGCUAGUCCAGCAUCUUGCGUGUUACACCAUUCCGGAUCGUGCCAGACGAGCUGCACAGAGCGAUAAAAAGGAGUUUCAGCAUAACUGCCCGGUGCUUUUGCAGUAGCGUGAAAUUGUUAAAGGAAAAAAUGAAUUCGAGUGAUUAUGGAGCUGCUACGCGUCAACGAGAAGACGAUGGGGAACAUAUUUCAUCGAUAGACGAUUUUGAAGAUGAAUUGAUUGAAUGUGACGGAGAAAAGGACUCAUCAUAUUCUUCAAGCGAUGUGAUGGGACUAUUGAAACAAAUUU